GGGUAUGGUCCAAUGGUAGGAUAACGGUCUCCAAAACCGCUGGCGAGGGUUCGAUUCCUUCUACCC
rnacentral:tRNA from 1 species